rnacentral:rRNA from 1 species
UGGGGAAUUUUGGACAAUGGGCGCAAGCCUGAUCCAGCCAUGCCGCGUGUGGGAAGAAGGCCUUCGGGUUGUAAACCACUUUUGUCAGGGAAGAAACGGCCUAAUCUAAUACAUUGGGUUAAUGACGGUACCUGAAGAAUAAGCACCGGCUAACUACGUGCCAGCAGCCGCGGUAAUACGUAGGGUGCGAGCGUUGUUCGGAUUUACUGGGCGUAAAGGGCGCGUAGGCGGCGUGGUAAGUCACUUGUGAAAUCUCCGAGCUUAACUCGGAACGGUCAAGUGAUACUGCUGUGCUAGAGUACAGAAGGGGCAAUCGGAAUUCUUGGUGUAGCGGUGAAAUGCGUAGAUAUCAAGAGGAACACCUGAGGUGAAGACGGGUUGCUGGGCUGAUACUGACGCUGAGGCGCGAAAGCCAGGGGAGCAAACGGGAUUAGAUACCCCCGUAGUCCCUGAGCGGGCUGGCAAGGCG